UUAAAGUCAUUAGACUGGUUCGGACAUAAGUUCAAACAAGUGGUUUGGCUGGGGCUUCGGGCAGACUAACCAGCCAGCGGCGAACCGCAGGUGCGCUGCCUAAGCAAAGGGGACGUUUCACGGAGGGUUGACGCGUGGGCCCGGCUGGCCAUUCCCUCCCGUCUCUUAAUUCAAUGGUCUCGGAUGAAAUUGUACUGAUUGUACGCUCUCUCCUGUUUACAGAUUCCACAUGCACCUGCAAUGGUUGUGCAAUUUGCAGGCAGUGGGCCGGAAAUGCGAUGACGGGAGUUCCUGGCAGCUCGUGCUUUCGCAGUCGGCUUUUGAAAGCCACGCUUUUUAAUGAUCCUUCCGCAGGUUCACCUACGGAAA
rnacentral:misc_RNA from 1 species